GGAUAGCUGUCAGAAUAGUCGUGUCCAUAGAUUUGAUCCACAUGCGUAUUUGUCUGUAGUCGUGCAUAAAAUACAUAUUUGUGAGUUCUCAAAUGAGUCCAGUCGUGCAUAAAAUAUAUUGUGUGUAUUUUAUCCAUCAGAAUACGGAUGGGAAAAAAAUACGAAUUCAAAAAUUACAAGUACGAAACCAAACUUUACAGGUAGGCUUUCAUUUAUGAGUACGACUUCGCACCAGCUUCGCACAAGUGACUGAACUGUCAAAAUACGUCAUCGCCGCAUUCAGAGACAUUACUUGUUGAGAAAAGAAACAUAGAUCGAGAUCAAGACUGCGCAUGCGCUGAAGAUAACGCCAUCUGGGGGCAGCGGUGCCGCAGCCAUGAUCGCACUGUCAGUGCUAACGUUUGUGAUAGCUACCUGUGGAGUUGAACAAAUCGUCUUUUUUUUGGCUUACGAUGUCGGGAAGAACCUGUUGUGUGUUCGGCUGUUACAACAGCAGUGGGGAGAUAGAGAUAUGGAACAAAAAUGUAUAAGUUCACCGUUAUUACCGUGUUGACACCAUAAGCACUAGCUAAUAGCACUGCAGCUUCCCAGCGAGCUGAAGAACAAGCUGUUCGUCAGAAGUGGAGUGGAUUGUGAACAUCAACUUUCAGAACAAACAUGUCACGGGGUCAUUGUCAUCUGGAAGAGCACCUCCCAAAAGAAGAUGUCCUCAGCCUUUACAAGAGGACACAUCAUGUGCUUGGAAUUUGUGCACAAUGGAAUAAAGAACAGUUGUUGAUGUAUUAAUUACAGUUUAUUUGAA